AUUGAACGCUGGCGGCAGGCCUAACACAUGCAAGUCGGGCGAGUGGCGGACGGGUGAGUAAUGUAUGGGGAUCUGCCUGCUGGAGGGGUAUAACUACUGGAAACGGUAGCUAAUACCGCAUACCCUCAGAUGAACCCAUAUGGGAUUAGCUGGUAGGUAAGGUAACGGCUUACCUAGGCGACGAUCCCUAGCUGGUCUGAGAGGAUGAUCAGUCAAACUGGUAGUGAGACACGGCCCAGACUCCUACGGGAGGCAGCAGUGGGGAAUAUUGGACCAUGGGUGCAAUCCUGAUGCAGCCAUGCGGCGUGUAUGAAGAAGGCCUUCGGGUUGUUAGGUACUUUCAGUCGGGAGGCGUUACCGUCAGAAGAAGCACAGGCUAACUCCGUGCCAGCAGCCGCGGUAAUUC
rnacentral:rRNA from 1 species